AUUUUAAAAAAUGAAGCCGCAGCUAUCUCUCUUUUUAUACCUCUUUCUCUCUUUACCUCUCUCUAAUCGUCAAUGGCUGCCGUCGCCGCUGAGAAAGCUGAUGCCGCCCCUUCCCCUCUUCCUAGCUUCCCUAUUCUCUUCCUUAGCUUAAGAAAACCUGAUGCCGCCGAGCCAGCUGGGAUUUCAGCCGACAGAGCACCAGCGUCGCCUCCCAACAUCAACUAUGCUAACACUAUUGCGUCCUCGCCAGUUGAGAAAGUCAGGGAGAUAAAUAGCGAAGGGAGCUAGAAAAGGAGGACUUUAUGCACUGGAAGACAUCAACACCUAUGCCUUGACAACAACCCUAAACUGGAGGAAGACGAAUUGUAUUUGACACAGUAGAUUAGGUCAUUCUAGUUUGAAGUCUUUAUAAUUUUUUAGUAGAAAGAAGCUUAUAAAUUUUAAGAGUUGGAAUAAUGUGCAUGCUAUUUAUACUAGAUGCCGGUUGGGAAAAAUUUGUAAACUUUCUUCUAUAUUGAGAAAUAAAAUUGAAAAGGAAUCAUUACUCAA